ensembl:miRNA
CGUGUGGAGAUAUAAUUUGCCUCGUAUGUGUUCGAGGUACAAUUUUAUCUCUGGACCU